AUUGAACGCUGGCGGCCGGCUUAACACAUGCAAGUCGAACGAGCGGCGGACGGGUGAGUAAUGCUUGGGAAUCGAGCUUAUGGAGGGUGAUAACUACGGGAAACUUUAGCUAAUACCGCGUACCAUCGGAUGAGCCCAAGUGGGAUUAGGUAGUUGGUGGGGUAAUGUCUCACCAAGCAGAAGAUCGCUAGCUGGUCUGAGAGGAUGACCAGGCACACGUGAACUGAGACACGGUCCAGACUCCUACGGGAGGGAGCAGUGGGGAAGAUGGCACAAUGGGCGCAAGCCUGAUGCAGCCAUGCCGCGUGUGGGAAGAAGGCAUUCGGGUUUUAAAGCACUUUCAGCGAGGAGGCGUUACUCGCAGAAGAAGCACCUGCUAAUGCCGUGCCAGCAGCCGCGGUAAUUC
rnacentral:rRNA from 1 species